CUGGAGGAGAGAGGGAGGGACAGAGGACAGCUGGAGGAGCUGUCCUCCCAGCAUGCCUCUGUGUGCGUGGAGCUGCAGGAGGUGCAGCAGCAGCUCCAGCAGGCCCUGGAGGAGGUGAGGAGCAGGAGGCGCCAGCAGGAGGAGCAGCAGAGGGACAACAGGAAGCUGCAGGAGGAGACAGACAGUCUGCAGAGACACAAGGAGACGCUGGAUGACGAGCUGACCCAACUCAGGUGUGUGUCUGUGUCUC